UUUGUGUGUUAUUUGUAGGGAGUAGUGGAGUUCUCUUUAUGCCUGUUCUUCGCUAAGUUGGUGAGCUACACAUUCCUCUAUUGGUUGCCGCAGUACAUCAAGACCUCAACUUCACUCGGGACCAGCAGAAAGUGCAGAUCUGUCGACAGUGUUUGAUGUUGGUGGCAUUGUCUGGUGGCAUUGCAGCAGGUAUCAUCAGUGACUACAGCGGCAAGAGUGCUUCCACCUGUGCAGUCAUGCUUGUUGUGGCUGUCCCCGUGCUGCAGAUAAUACAACUUGUAUGGAGCACAUAGUCUGGCACUCAACUUUGGCUUGUUGCUGGUGGCCGGGCUGUUGGUCAACGGUCCAUACGCUCUCAUCACCACAGCUGUCUCAGCAGAGCUGGGCACUCAUCAUUCUCUGCAGGGAAACUCCAAAGCACUAGCCACUGUUACAGCCAUCAUAGAUGGCA